CCUACUGGAGGCUGCAGUGGGGAAUAUUGGACAAUGGGGGGAACCCUGAUCCAGCCAUGCCGCGUGUGUGAAGAAGGCCCUCGGGUUGUAAAGCACUUUCAGUGAGGAAGAACGCCUGGUGGUUAAUACCCAUCAGGAAAGACAUCACUCACAGAAGAAGCACCGGCUAACUCCGUGCCAGCAGCCGCGGUAAUACGGAGGGUGCGAGCGUUAAUCGGAAUUACUGGGCGUAAAGCGCGCGUAGGUGGCUUGAUAAGCCGGUUGUGAAAGCCCCGGGCUCAACCUGGGAACGGCAUCCGGAACUGUCAAGCUAGAGUGCAGGAGAGGAAGGUAGAAUUCCCGGUGUAGCGGUGAAAUGCGUAGAGAUCGGGAGGAAUACCAGUGGCGAAGGCGGCCUUCUGGACUGACACUGACACUGAGGUGCGAAAGCGUGGGUAGCAAACAGGAUUAGAUACCCCUGUAGUC
rnacentral:rRNA from 1 species